UGAGCCAGCGGGGAGAGGCCCGGGCGGAGGAGGCUGCGGACUCCUAGAGGUUCAGUGCCGGAAGUUGGGCCUGGAAAGGGGGCACCGCCUUCCCGGUUCUGGUGGCGGGGAGUGAGGGGACGGGCGAAAGCGGCACAGGGAACAGCAUGACACGGGCCUGAGGCAGGGCACAUUUGGAAAGGGGCGAGGAGAGGGCAGUGGCUUCUGGCACGGCAGCAGUGGGCAUACAGAGGCAGUCGGGACCCGUCUGGAAGAGCCUCCGCCCGGGCAUUCCAGCUGGAGAUGCGUGACCUUCGGUCUGCGGCA
rnacentral:lncRNA from 1 species